rnacentral:rRNA from 1 species
AUAUGGAGGGUGCAAGCGUUACUCGGAAUCACUGGGCGUAAAGGGUGCGUAGGCGGUUUGAUAAGUCUGAUGUGAAAUCCUAUGGCUCAACCAUAGAACUGCAUUGGAAACUGUCAGACUAGAAUACUGAAGGGGCAGAUGGAAUUAGUGGUGUAGGGGUAAAAUCCGUAGAUAUCACUAGGAAUACCGAAAGCGAAAGCGAUCUGCUGGGAAGUUAUUGACGCUGAGGCACGAAAGCGUGGGGAGCAAACGGGAUUAGAAACCCCAGUAGUCC